GAGGGUAUAGCUCAGUGGUAGAGUGUGUGCUAGGCAUGCACGAGGUCCUGGGUUCAAUCCCCAGGAUCUCCA
rnacentral:tRNA from 1 species